ACACGGACAGGUGAAGGAGCUUGCGAGGAAGAGAAUCUUUGUUAUCGAGUGACUUCGUCUACGCUGAAAAGGAUAAUCAAUCUAGUGCAAUAUUUCUUGCUUAAUGAAUCUCUUCUGCUAGAGAACAGCCAUUUACAGUGCUACAAUGGAUUAAUAUCAGCCAGUUCGAACCUUUUCCGUAGGAUGCGCGAACCGCGAGUGAAACGCGUACGACUACACGAAGCCACGUGCGCCUCCACUACACAGCGCACUUUGGUCCGUCAAACAAGUGAAUAUCGCGCGCGUGAUAUUCAUAUACACAGGCUCCCUCGGCCGUAACCUCCAGAAAACCGGAACAGGGAAACUCGGCUUACACGCGGAAAGAGAGAGAAAAUUUGUAUUUCAGCUGUCGCGAUAACGAAAUGAAUUUAAUUAAAAUGGCAUGAUCCGAUCUGGCGGUGAGAAAGUCUUGACAUGAUGUCAAAUGAAACUUCCUGUUUGAGAAAUGUGCUCUGACAACUUCUGUGAGCGGCAAAUAUGGUCAGAUACACAUGUUCAUUGGACACUACCUUUGGAGUUAAUCGCCCUACAGACACAUGUUUCAUCUCGCGGAAGAUAUUCUUCCUGGUUACAGGGAUGAAGUUCCAGAGGUGAAAAUGUCGCUACAGAUUAUGCCCCGGCAAUAUUUCAGGAAUUUCUGAUAUUUUAAAGACUUUGAAAAAUGCCUCCGUAGUCCGCAAACAAUGUGUUAUCUCCACGAUCAAACAUGUAACACAUGUGAUAAGCUCAUAGUGCAUGAGUUUUUGCCAGUGGGGGUGAGGUCUUCCUGUUUUCGUUUCGUCAAACGAACCUUCAGUUGUGAAUUGUGAUAUCUGCCUCACACUGCAUUUUUUUUUUUAAAGAAAUGGUAAUUAAAAAGUAACUUUUCAUGCCUAGUUUUAAUAUGUUGCGGGCCGGUUUGUCUAGGCAAAACCUGUGUAUUUUGUGGACUUUCAAGUGGAAAACGUGCAAAUUAUAUUUAUAGUUUUCUCAGUGAAAAGGUUUGCACAACCCUAACUGCUUUAUAAUAAUAAAAAAUCGUCGCUGCUGAAAAAAUAUUUACCACUUAAAAGUGACAGGCAAAAUCGCAUUCGAAUAGGUCUGUUUGCAGCUUAAUUACAUCGCUACUAUUUGAC